UGGUGGAGUGAUUUGUCUGGUUAAUUCCGUUAACGAACGAGACCUCGACCUGCUAAAUAGUUCGGCGAAUCCUUCGGGAUUCGUACGUGACUUCUUAGAGGGACUAUCGGUGGAUAGCCGAUGGAAGUUCGAGGCAAUAACA
rnacentral:rRNA from 1 species